GAUGAACGCUGACAGAAUGCUUAACACAUGCAAGUCGAUGGGGAAGUGGUGCUUGCACCAUGGCAACCAUGGCGGACGGGUGAGUAACGCGUAAGGGACUUACCUGCAGGACUGGGAUAACAGGGGGAAACUCCUGACAAGACCGGAUAAUGUCAUGGAGCUGCAUGGCUUUAUGAUGAAAGGAGACGCCUGCGGAGAGCCUUGCGUCCUAUUAGCUAGUUGGUGAGGUAAUGGCUCACCAAGGCGAAGAUAGGUAGCCGGCCUGAGAGGGUGGACGGCCACAAGGGGACUGAGAUACGGCCCUUACUCCUACGGGAGGCAGCAGUGAGUAAUAUUGGACAAUGGGGGCAACGCUGAUCCAGCAAUUCUGUGUGCACGAAGAAGGUUUUCGGAUUGUAAAGUGCUUUCAGCAGGGAAGAAGUAAGUGACGGUACCUGCAGAAGAAGCGACGGCUAAAUACGUG
rnacentral:rRNA from 1 species